rnacentral:lncRNA from 1 species
CUCGCAAGUCCUCCCCCAUCCCCAGCCCUCCGUCUACCCCCGCGGUGCCUCACAGAUACAGCACUGGUGGCAGUGGAGGUAGUGGUGGCAGCGGCUACAGUGGUGGCAGUGGAGGCAGUGUUUACAGUGGUGGCAGUGAUGUCAGCAUGGACUACGGAGAAAAUAGUAGCAGUGUUUACAGUGGUGGCAGUGCUUACAGCGGUCUGGCAUCUGGCGCAUCUGCACGAAGUCUGG